rfam:Oscillibacter sp. CAG:241 genomic scaffold, scf3
UGGAUGGACUCGGGAGAGACCGCGCUCUGCGCGGCGCCGAAGGGGAACGCAGAAGCUCUCAGGCAAAAGGGACCGGGUCCGGACG